ensembl:lncRNA
AAAGAAGUCAGAACUGGUACUUGAAUAAAUCCUGAACACCUAUUGAGGGUUGUGAAUGAGCCCAGGGCUCCUGCUAUUCCACUUCUCCCCAUUUCCUUAUAGUCCCUUAGAGCAGUGACCCUUCCAGUUCCACCAGGGAAAGAUAUCCAGUGAAUCAUUAAUCUCAGGAAGCCUUUUUCUGGUGGUGUUUCAGAUGGCAGUCUUACAAGAACUCAAGGGUAGCUCUAUUAUUGUUAUGGCCCAGGCUUUUCUGGAGCUAGAGGGAAUAAGAUGUUGAUUCUCAUCCCAGUUUUACAGAGGUAUUAUAGGCUAUAUUAGGAGUCUCUCAUCUUCUUUAAUCAAAGAAUUGACAAACUGUUAAAAAAGCAGCAGUCCAUCUUAUGAAACACAAAUUGAGUGAUUUUUGUUUCCAAACAAAUGAAAAAUAGUUAAUUGUUUGAAUUUGUUCAUUUACUACCUUUAUCUUCCCUCAUUUAGAACAUUUCCUUUCCCACAUCAGUGGAAAUGUGCCUGAGUGAGAAGUCAGGUUUUUCAGCUAAUGAUGGUGAUGCUACUUGAAGUUGCUCGAUGGGCCACAUCCUAACACCUAAGCCUAUGUGCUACAUAUAGUGAAAUACUUCUUUUAUGAAAAGCCAUUUAAAAACUCUGACAAAUUUAACUUCUCAGAAGUUUAGGAGUUAAUCUAAAUUUCUUUUAAACUCAAUGAUAUGUAUAUACAUGCCUAUUACAAAUCCACAGUGUCUGUUUCUACAAUUUCUAGACUAAAUACUUACAGGGAGAAGGAAAUUAACUCUGAACCAGCGUGAUCUGUUUUAUUUUUGUUUUACUUGGAUGACAGAUUUCUUCUGCUUUUCCAACAAUUGUUUCAUAACUAUUUUUUCCUGACCCCAAAAUCACACACACACAAAAAUCUGUUCUAACAACAUGUAUUUCAACCCAACAUUGAACUGAAAGACAUGAAGAUAUCAGGCUUUGGCUAGAUGAUAAACCUAGAUAGACAGCCAGCUCACUGCACAGAAAUGAAGGAAAGGAAGAUUUGGAUCAGGAUUUCUUAGGGCAUCAUUCAGUACACCAUCUGCAGCACAAAAAGGUAUAACCACCUCGUACUGGGCUAAGUCUGGGGGGGGGGAGGAAGCAUAAAUAGGAAUCUAAGCGCGUGGAAAGCUGUGUCCCUUUGGGCCAGAUCUGUAGUAGGUAGUCAUCAGCAUAAAUCUGCUUUUUAUUCACUCUCCGGAAGGCCUAAUUUGAUCACUCUGUAGCACUGCUCUUAGUGCUAACAUCGGGAAGCAUAUUUUAUAGAAAAGCUCAUCAGUUCCAGAAUCUGCAGAACAAAGUUGAUAAAGUGCAGUACUGCAGCAGUUGCAACAUACCGAUUCUUCUAACCGCGGAAGAGCCGCACCCCGCGGCCGUGACAAAGACAAGCACAUACUUUCAUGUUGCCACUUGUAGACCAAGCUAAUUGCAAAGCGUCCUGCAAUCCUCACUGUGAUGAAUUCAUUAACCUGAAAGACCAACAAAGGAGACUUACUAAUUCCACCGUGUUUUCACAUUUAUGAUGGAUGGAAGAGGCAGAGUGAAGUCUCAGCAGGUUAGUUAUCCAAGACAGUUGGUCAUGAGUUACUCUACAAACAAGUCUCAGUGCUGUCACUCUCCAUGUGAAUCUUGCAAAGUUACCUUCUGGUACGUGAGCUGUGGGUAGAGAUGAUAACUCCCAGCCCUUUAUCUGGAUGACACAUGCCCAGAGCAAACAUUCUGAGACUGUGCAUGAGUUGGAAGGUGAUGCUGUGUAGCAGAAAGGCACGAGAAACUUUCAGAACCACUCAGGAAAAUGUGUCUACUCUUCUAAGGCAGAGAAGCAGUGGAGUCACAGACAAGGAUAGACUCAGGAGAAGCCAGUCUGUGCUUGCCCUGUAACUGCUGUUGUUAGUGAGAGUAGGCAGUGUUUGGGCUGCUCAGUCACAAGAAAAAGAUUAGCAUUUUGAUGCAUACGAUGUAAUUUAUUGAAGUAAUAGUCACUGUAGCUUUUAGCAUUGCCUGCACACACAGCCCAUGAAAAAUGACCCGGUGACACCAAGCAGGGCACUUAGAACCACUUUUCCUAUCUUCUAUUUAAUCCAGUUUGCAUCACCUGUUUCCAGUCUCUGACACUCCUUCUUAUUCAAAGUAAGAAGUGUGUUGCAGAUACUAAUGGCUUUACUGAACUUGCAUUCGUUUUCAUGUGACUCUUGAAAUACAUCCAUUUGCUACAGCACAUAAUUCACAGCAACAUUCCAUAAUCUGUACUUGAUAUUUCAAACUGUUUCAAUAGUUAUCUGACAUAAUCUUUACAGAGUCUAUCGAAGUCAAAACUGCAGAUAAAGCAUAUUGCAGGCAUCUCAAACUCUUGCAGACCUUAGAGAGUAAACAGAGGUCAGUAUAUAGAACAUAUCAAACCCAAAGAAGAGUGAGUGUCUAUCUAUAUCAGUCAUAGCAGCUGUAAGAUUUUCAUUGCCAUUUGCUUAUUUGAAGUCACUCCUUCCUAUCAGCAGCAGCCUGGGCAGUAUGAGCCAAGUGACAGAAACCUGUUAUGUGUUCAGCUACAUGUCAUUCCGUCAGUCUUAGAUGUGCCUUGUACAAAAUACCAAGGAUGCCACCAGUAGCCCUGUAUUAAGUAGAAAGGAAGAAAAAGUCUCCCGACUUGACCCAAAUAAUGUGUCUUUACCAACUCUGUGCCCGAAGGCAUGCUUACUGACUUGGAUUGCAAAUGUUUUACCUGCCUUUCUGGUAAUUUUGCAGCAUUUUAAGCUGAGAUCUGGUAACUACAAAGCAGUGGGAGGCUCCCACCUCAGUGGGAGCUGGAUCAGGACUGAAGUCAGGCAAAUAAGUGCCUGCUACUGAACAUGCCCAAGAGAAAUGUGAGAAAUAGCUUGUUCAUAUUGACUAGAAAGAAAAGACUCUUCCAAAAUGCAUCUAGCAGGGAGGAUAGGCUUCUUGUUUGUUGAAAUCCCGAGUUACAACAGUUGUAGGCAAUCUGCUUUUCUUUCUUAGCCUGAAGGAGCAACAGGAGUUAAAAAAAGAGGUAAUUCACGUAGAGGUUGUUUGGAAAACUAUUCAUUUUAAAGCCUGUUAGAGAAGAAGAAAUGUAAGCUCUGUGUUCCUUACGAUUCACACACCUCAGAGAGACUAAGGGAUGAGGGGGAGAAAGCAAGAGGUAAGAACAGUAAAAAAAGGUAAAGCUUUAACUAUUACCCGUGCUAUAACUGGCUGGGCCAGCUUGCCAUCCCGAGGCCAUUUCCAUUCUCUGACCAUUUCUUCAUCUUCAUUAGUCACCAGACCUCCUUCCUGAUUAAACAUCAUGGUUACAGUGUUGCUGUAAAUAGGCAGAAAUGUGAAACCUGUUUUUCCUGGUGUAUCUCAGGAAAACCUUAAACAAUCCAAGAAUCUUGCUUUGAUCUAGGAGUCUCUAAUUAAAAAGCCGCUUUACAUAGCCACUCCUUCACCCAGCUUUUCUCAUGCUACAGGCUUGUAAGGAAGGUAUAAACCACUGUCCUUUUGCUACAGACAAAAGUUGGGGUUUAAUUCUUGUAUUAAUAAUUCAAAGCAGAAAGAAGCUGGGGUCAAACAGUGUGAUUUCACUGCCCUUUUCACUUACCGCUACAGUCCUGGAAGUUCUAAAACAUUUCAAAUUUGACUGUAAAUUUAAAGGAAGAAACAAAUCAACUAAAAUGGCACAUGGAUGGCAUUAAUGCAUUAGGCUUCAGCUGACAAGUCUCAGGAGGAAUCCUGAGAUUUUAGCUUUGCACUUUAUAUUCCCUAUUAUUUUUGUUUGCUUUUCUGUAAUAUAAAGUUGGCUAGUAUAGGUAAAAUGGGUAGGUGUUAUUUAAAUUCUUUAAUGAGAACUGUUUAAAAUAUAUAUUUUUGGACACCUGGACACUUUUUGUCAACAAGGGCCACCUCCUUCCACUAGCUGUGAGGGCACUGAACUCUCUUCAGUGCUUUUAUACAAGACCUGAAAAAUCCUUGCUCACACAGCUCCAGUAAAACAUUCCUCCUAUCCCAAAAGUUCAGCCAUCAGCCAAUGAUCUUCACUUCCUUACAAAUGAAGGCAGCUGCAAAUCAGCAAGUCCCUCAUUUUUAGCUACUAUUCCUCUCUGCAGAGCAUUAAAUUUUGAUCCCAGAUUUCUUGAGUACUCUGAAGUCACUAAAGGAGCAAAGAAGAGGAGAAUUAGGCGAAGAUCAGGUAACUAAGAAUCAGUGAUAACCUUUGCCCACAUCAUGUACAGGUGCAGAGAACUACAUGGAGAGAUAUAAACAGAUAGCAACAAUAUCCAGAAGAGAACUGCUGAUGAAGUGAUGGAGGAAGAGGAUGACUUCUGACUGUGUGCAACAGCCAUCCACACACACCUCAUGCUAUGUGUUCAAGGCAGCCAGAAGGCUGGCUCUCAUUUGCCCACCGUCUCCUCUGUAUGUGGGAAUUUUCCAGUAAGCCAAAGUGCAUCCUGUCCUCACAGCACUGGUGUCACAAAUUAGGAAUUCUCUUUUCCGAGUGACUUCUGUCUAGCUCAGCAGUUUAGUUAACAGAGUGCUUUUGGGCUGCUUGAACACCUGAUGGCAUUUGACUCUUAGAGGGGAAUCAGAGAGGACAGGUUUCUUCUUCACCUCCAGGAGGCAUGAACAAGUCGGAAGGGGUCUUCUUUUAUCUUUCCACACUUCUGGAUGCUGAUCUUCUCUAAUGUCAGACUCCCUAUGGACUACGAGUCUGUCUGUGCAAGAGUUUGGUUACCUAAAACUAAGCUCAGCUUUCAUUUUUUAGUGAAAAAGGGUAGGUGAAAAACAACCAAAAUAAACCCAACCCACUGUCAGACACCCAGCUGAGUUAUAGAAACUUGUAUUUGUUGUAGAAACAACAUACCACUUUUCUCAUGUCUAUUCUGGUUUUGAACGUUGCUCAGAUCCUUGUAUAGCUUUGUGCUCUCGGCUCUAAUUCGCAGAAUCAAACAACAGCUUGUAGUGCAUCUGCCUACCUGUUAGGAAGAUAGAUGCUGCCAUGUCCAAAAGAGGUGAAAGUUCCACCUAUAGAAUGAUCUGGAGAAGGGCUAAAUAUGUUGGUAUACAUCCCCCUACAUGGGAGAUUGCAGCAGCUCUGGCAAACCGCAAGAUAUUCAGAUGGAUAGCUAAAAUGAGAGUCAAGGAGUUAAGUUAUCAUUCUCUCUCCAACUCUGUAGCUUCUGUUACUUAACCAUGCAGAGAACACAGGGACUAACAUCAUCAGCUCUAAGACAGGGUAUUCAGUCCAUGUGCAUAAGAGAAAGCGAAGCUACCAACCCAGUCAUCUUCUUCCUUGAAUAAGUGGAUUGGGAGUGAUAGAGGAUGAGCAGGCAAAGCUCUCAGCACAAAAUUCACGUUACUGAACUAAUAAAAGAUAGCAGGAAACUCAUGCUGGUACAGGUCAAAAGUGUCCUUUGCAGGAGCAAUGUAUGACUCAGAAGUAGGUUUAUGAGGCAUGGUGUCUUCUGUGGACUUGUAACAGAGCAGACUUGCACAGUUCCUAAUACAUCUUGAUGUUUGUGAUUAUGUUUGUGAUUGAUAAAGUGGUCUUUGUUCACGACAAGGUCAUACUUUAAAUAGUUUGCAGUCUGAUACUGUUAAUUUAAAACUGCAUUGUUCAUUCUGCAGUUUUUUUUGGGUUUUUUUUUUUUUUUUAUGCCUUUCAACCCACCUGACGCACACUGGGCUUUGCUGUUGUAGACCGACUAUAGAUGUGGUACCAUAUAAAUAGAGUCUGAUAAGAAGCCCAAAGAAUAAAGUCUUGUUCUUUUAUAUGUAGCUGGAUUUUGGAAGCGGUUCAGCUACACGCUGUGUGAUUGUCCUUCGGUAGAAGUCCUCCCCCUGCCUUUCACACACUUACAGGAAUUUAAGUGAGCUUAAGAAAGGAUAUUAAAUGAAGGAUGAGCCAUCAUUCAGUCUGUAGUGCAGUUUUCUCUGUGCUGUGUUUGCUCUCUUGACCACUGGAAUCUGAGGUUUGUCAUAUGGCAGCUUUGAUGUGACAGUCCUGCCAGCCUGAACCUUCCAUGUCCUGGGGAAAGUUUCUCCUCUGUAAUCACCAUAAUGCUGUAGAAUAAUUGGUUUGUCAAACCCAACUUCUUUCAGGUUAAAUGCUUGCUCUUUUCUGUUUACAUGAGGGAGGAAAAAAAAUAUAACUUCGAUUAGUUCUUGCUAAGUGGAAUCCUCAGGCAAGGCUUCUCUUGAUUAAGAAUGAAGUUUGACCUAAGCAGAAAACAUACGGUAGUUUCUCAGCUAUAAAAUAUCACACAUUGCUCUCAUAUACAAAGGAGUCAAAUAAGUUACUCAAGAUCACGCAGGUCACCUGUGGUUAAGCUGGCAAUAGAACUGACUGCACCAAUCCUCCACACCCACACAUAGCAGAGAUCCACUGACAGCAAGGGCCAGUAUCUCUGCUGCAGAUCUGUCCAUCAGUAGGUCACUUUCACCAUCCUGGAUUACAUGCACUCACUGUGUUAUUCUUUUUUUCCUAUUAUUCAUUUCACCUUUCAGAGAAACAACAAUAUUAAAACAGUUUAAAAUUUCCUUUAAGAUUUUCUUCGUAUCUAUUUCAGUCCCUGAUCAUAAGAAAGAAGCACAGAGGCAGAGUUUGAGGCUGGCUGAAUGGCCCCAAAUCUAGCAGACAGCUUGUUAGUCCUGACAGCCUUUGGCUGACGUUCUUUUCAAUUAGACUUUCUAUAUGUACUGUUUUACAUGUGUAUAUGAGUCCAUGCAUGCCUUUUUUUGCUCUUUAAGCAGUUACCAAAAAACCAUGCAGAUCAUCUAGUAGCACUAGACAAAUAAAGCCAUUAAAGAAAAAAAAAGAAAGAGCAAAAAAGCCAGUCAAUUUUGAGGAAAGCUAAUUAUGUAAAACAUUAGCUGAUAGAAAUCAAAGGAACAUUUUUGUCUUCGAUCCAAUAUUUCUUGCUGUUUAAAUUUUGCCAUUAAAUAUUGCUCAGUAUAAAGUUUUUGCUGACUAUGCUAAGCACAGUUAUUCAGGAACACAAAGCCAACUUCCACAGCACUGACACAGAAAUCUGGCAACAGCACUGGAGUACUGCAAGAUGAGGGGCAUCGUUUUACUUCCAACCUAAUGGGCCAAUAGGGUCUGCAAAUGCUGGAAAGGAAACAUGCUCAGAUACUGUGAGAAGGAACACUUUUCUUGUUAGGAGACCCUACCACUAUUUGUGGCAUAAAUGUUGCCUUCAAUUAGAUAAUUAAGUCAACAGACUGCUGAGCUUUUGGGAACAGCGAUAUGGUGGACUCCAGAAUAGUUGUGCCAGAGGUAAGGAAAUGCAUUCUCAGCACCUGCAUGAGCUCUAUCAGUUCUUAACAAUUACACGCUGGCCUAUAUCAAAGCCCACAGUUUGGAAGAGUAAGUAACAGAUACUUACAUUUUAGUGUGUUCUCUAAAAGAGGUAUGUAUAGGACAUGGCAUGUCUUGUGGGUGGGAAGACAACAACGCUCAUUUUAAUGAUCAGAACAUAGACUGUUUCCAGGAUAAGCCACAAGUAUUUUAAUUAAGUAUUUUAUUUAAGCUUAAUUGUCACAUUGCUUUUCUUUUGCUUUGUUUUGCAAUCACAUUAUACAGCUAUUGGAGGCAGACAGAGGUUGGUGAAGCAAAGCCAACUCCAACUUUUGCUCCAAAAGCAAUUAUCCUGGACUUUAGGGUACUCAGUUCCCCAAGGAUUAAAGCAGUGACCAAGACGCAUUCCGGGAAUAAUAUGCAUAUUAUAAUAAAAUAACUAUAUUUUACAAUGUGCUAUAUACAUGGUAGCAUGUACAUUCUUACUGAUAAGUGCCAGUUCUUACACAGCCACUAGCUGCUAAACCUAUUCUCACCAAUUUUCACCUGCAACACAGUGCUGAUUUCACUCAAUCUGAAUAUGUUUUUAAUUUUUUUUUGCCAGUGUACAGGAACUAUCAUUUAAAUAGUACUACAUAUAACAGCUGAAAUUCAGAUACUGUGCUGUAGAUAAAUUACACAGGUUAACUUUUAGUAACUGUUGCUGUAGGUAAUUAAUGCUUAUAGCUAUCAGAAUAUUUUUUCACUUAAACUUUGCCUCGUUUAUAAAAUGCCAGCACUUCUUCUUCAGAUAAUUGAUCCAGGCAGGGCAGAUCUUAGCUAUUUCAGACAUCUCCUGCUUUCCUUUGAAACUAUCUUAGCAAUAUAGUCAGUAUAAAGAAUGACCGACUAACUUGGAGGCCACCAUACAUUUUUAACACGUGGCUAACUCUAUGUGAUGAGUCGUCAGGGUUGUAAGUCCAUCUCGUGCUAUGUAAAAACAGAAGGUUUAAGCAUAAACAGCAUGAAGAAGUCUCAUGGCCUGAUUCUGGCCACAUUAUCUUAUGGCAGCCCUCACUCAGGCCCUGACAAGUAAACAGGCUACAGAUCACUGCAUAUUUUCAUAAUACUAAAUAGCCUUAAUGCGCCAUGGUUGCUAUUGCAAAAGAUAUACAGUCAGGUUUUCAUAACUACUGGGAAGUUUAUCUUCAGAUUAAUCAAAAUUAUUGUCUCACCACUAAUCUCUGAAAAUGCUUCUGUUGGGAUAAUUAUUUUCUUCCAUUACCACCAACAGAAAUAAAAGUAUGUUUCCCUUUCAUUAAUAGUGAAGUGCUAAACUGAACUCUGGGAGUUUUCAGAGCAGUAACACUCCCCCAUAUAGUCUGUUGGUUUGGUUAAGUGUUCCACCUCAUAAAAACAUUGCCAUAUACUCUAACUUUGUUUAUGGAGGUAAAAAUCUCAGUUUGUUACAUUUGUUUUUGAACUUGCUCAGGUCUCACCAGGGUCCACACAUAAGGCAGAUUCUGAUGAACUUCUUCAGACUUUGGGUUAGAAAGCUGGAAAAUCAAACCUAGAGAAACAGAAUGAGAGAUUAGAAAUAGAUGCAUAAGUAAAAACUAAUGUUAAUGUUAGCCCUGUUCCCUGUUAUCCUCCUAUGGAAAGUAAGGUUCAUUCAUAUGAAUAUAUUGUUCUGUAGCUUUGAAAAUUGCUUUCUUAAGCAGAUUCUCUACUUUGGAAAAUACAAAAGGAGAAAGAGGUAAUACGUGUUCUGGGUGUCACUGUUCAGUUGGUCUACUGCCAGACAGGUACAGGAUUGCCACUGGAAAGGAUGUAGUGUAAUGCUCCUAUAACAGUGGGAGCUGGUUAUCUCCACCCUUCAGGCAUUCAUUUGUGAUUAAGAAACCUUCAACAGCUGCCUGACUUUACAGUGCACUGGCAGAUCCUCUGGUGGAGUGCCUGGAGAGGAUAGUAUACAAUGUCAAGAUGACCAACGAUCUUGAGAUCACUGAGCAGAAUAAAGAGGCAGCCUGUGGACACAAAAGCCUACGGUGGAAUCAAUAAUCUUGCCAAUUCAGCAGCACAGUGACACCGAGGACAUGCAACACCACAGGAACACAUUUCCAGAUGGUUCGGGUGUGCUGUUCCUUUGUUAUAACCAGAGGAAAUCAGAUGCCACAUUUUUAGGAAACACCACAAGAAGUUGUAAAUCCAUUCUAUUUCAAUAUAUUGGUUUACAAAGCUAUUCUUCCAUGCUAGGAUUGUAAAUGUCUCUGCAGCACUUUCAGCAAUGCACAGACACUAUUUUUUUUUUUCACAUGGCAAUGUUCUCAAAGAAAUAAGAGUAAAAAAUAAAAAUAAAAAGGUGCAGAAUAAGCAGUCCUUCUCUUUAGACCGUCAGCAUUGCCCAUACAUUUUAGGCAGAGCUUACAUAAUGCCUUGUGAUGAACAUUUCAGUGGGUGUAUUAGUACUGCCGUUCAGAGGAAGUUAUUAACUCAAACACAAGUGGUCAGACAGUUCCCAGCAGGGAAGGAUUAAAAUAAUAUCCCAAAGCAGUGGUUGGUCCUGCAUUUUGCUAGCACAGAGAAGUGGACUCAUAGUGGCUACAUACGACAGGUAUGGAGACGUUAUUGGCAGAUGACCACAGAUAAUCAGAGGACUGCGUAUUUAAAACCAGUUUGUAGUAAAAAGGCACAGUGUUAUUCCUUGAAAAUUACUCCUUUCUCAUGGUAAGCCAUUCUUUAAUUAAUUCAGGCAUCUGUAACAGUAUGUUCAGUUAGUGUAUCAUUCUAACCACCUCUGCAGAACACUAGCUUUACAGAGCAGCUGCCUGCUUCUCUUACCUUGUUCCUCACAAAUGUUGGAUGAAAGUGAGAAGCUGACUGUGAUGGGUGACUGGUCAGCAUCAUUUUGCGCAGCAGGAGAUAAACACAAAGAAAGGAGAAUGCAGUGCUUAGGAACACACAUGGAAAGGUAAGUCUGCUUUUAAAAAUUAAUAUUGAUUUCUUUUUAAAGAGGUGAGUAUUACCUGGAGAACUGUAACAGGCUUCUUCCCAACACUAGGUUCAGCACUUGCAAUCACUGAUACUCGCAGAAUGAAAUGCUUUAGAUGCAAAUCUUCUCUACUGGUGCAAUGUGUUAUGACUCUAUCACUCACCUUGAAAGAGGAGACUAAAAAUGCUUUGCUAAAUGACUUGAAACAUUGCCCAGUUUCACCGGCUUUGUUCUUCUCAAGUGUUUGUACCUCUUGCUUCAGCUGCAAAGCUAUUUCAUCAUGUCCUAAACUAGUGCUUUGCAAAGAACUGCAGUAUAUCAAGUUAUAAGCUGGAGCACAUUGGCCUAUCCAGCCAAUGGUGUAUUCUUAACAGAAAGCACUUUUUUCCUUUUUUUUGGCCAAACGUUACAACACAGCACAUUUGUGCAGCACUGUAUUACCUUCACUUUCUGAAGGUGCAUUUGAUGCUGUCUCAGGAUUUAUUUCUCCCUUUGUAGUGCAGGCUGAUAGAAUAAAGCCUUUCUUGUGUUGUUCUUUUCUGAUGGCAGUGAUUUCAUGCUCCUUACAUUUGGAUGCCAGAGUACUAUUCUUAACCUCCUCUGAGGCCUGGCUUCUCCUGGAUCUCAUGCUUCUGUAUGAUAGCAACUUCUGCUGCCGUUUACAGAAAUCAGCCCUCACAGUGAGUUCCCUCCAGCUGCAGGUAAGCACAGUUACAAGUUCCAGUGGAAAACCAGUCUGAUACCUAGCCAGGAGCUGCCACUUCUCCCCAAGUUGCAGAUGCAGACUUAUUCAACAUGUUAAGUGGUGAGUGAGUCCUUGUCUGCCUGUGGGAUCAGAGCACGUUGGGAGACCUUUGGGUUUGAGUCCUCUGUAGUGGUUUUAUACAGGGAAUGAUGAGAUAUUUGAUGCAAAACUGGAUCUUUCUCUUUUUUUUGUAUCAACAUUUAAGAAACCAUCUUCAUGUCUUUCUGUAUACUCCCCUGCGCAGAAGGGAUUCCUGCCUUCAGUCAGGCCGAGGAUACAGCUGAUGGAAUGAGGAUUUGUAGUGAGCGCGUGGCAAUACGAGGACACUUCUCCUGAUAUCUCCCUGUCCCUCUCUUUCAUUCUAGCUUUCAUCUACAACAAAAUAAAUGUUUCCAAUUUAACACUGGAGGAUGUGUGAAGGGGAAGAGGGAAGUAGAACAACGUCCUGGAAAUGGAAGAAAUCACCUGGUCAAAGAAAUAUAUGGGUCCUGCCUCUGGCACUGCAGCUGUAAGUACUGGUUCCAUUAAUCCCAAGAUGAGCAAGGACUGAAAUACUCCAAGGGAAGACCGUUAUGUCAGCAGGCUGUGAGAAAGAAACUGUUCGUUCUUUUCACACUAACAGUGAAGCUGAGUCAGUAUUUUCUGUGUGAGGUAUUGAAAAUCUGCUUCAAAUAUUACACGAAACACUACUGUACAGAUAGGGAUGCAUUCACAUGUCAGGGGAUUAAACUAUAGGAAAUCAGUUACAAAACUGAAAACCCGAGUAUCAGUUUUUGUUCAUUUAGAUUCACAUCAAUCCAAAACAGUGUCUUCAUGAGACACAGCCUACUGUUAUUUUAUAGGACAGAUGUCUCAGUUUGUUUGUUAUAUGAAAAAGAAGAUUGGUUUCAUAUGACUCAGUGACUGUCAUUAAAUAUGCUAUCAUUCAAAAAAGUUUUUUAUGACUCUUUCAUGAAUAUUAAAAGAGGGUUUCAAAGAUACUGCUGUGGCAACCUCUGAUUCUGUGCAACUUUCCAUCAUUCUCUACCAAAACUGCACAAAGGCACAGGGAUCUGUUGGCAGGGCAUCCCUCACUGUAGCACAUUCUAAUACACAUAUCUGCAUACAUGCCUAAUUCACUCCAGCUUUCAAUUACAAGCUUUCAUACAAGCUCCUUAUCACCGAAAUUUAAGGUGUCUUUUUGAAGCACAGGUUCAGGCAUCAGAUUGCUCUGUUUAUGUGAAUCCUGUCAUUUAGAAGUAAUUUUUUUAAAGCGAACUCCAGAAGCAAUUAACUGGCUUACAUAUAUGGGUACAGCAUAUCUCCAUUCAUGCAAGAUGAAGAGCAUUUGCUAGGGCACAGUGUGAGUGUACAAACAAUGUUCUGUGAUUCUCAAGGUAGCUUUAAGACAUUAAAUUUGCUUCUUUUCAGAAGCACUCACUGCAUCCUUUGAAAGCCUGGCCUCCCAAGGACACUGCUGUGACACUAGCUGGUGCAUGCCAGGAUGCUUGAAUUAUGGCUGACUGGCUGUAAUCAAACUGAUGGAAAAAAAAAGGGAAAUCACCAUAGGAUGUGAAAAGAAGUCCACAGUAAACAGUAUUAAAUGAGAAUUAUUCAUCUGCUUUUGUCACCUUAAAAUUUGAACGAAAUAUUUCAUCAAGCUUUUAAGAGAAGGAGUAGUUUCAGAAGAAAGGAUGUCCUUUAUCCUGUUCGUGCCAAGAAAUGGGUGUUCAACCUUUUGGCUUGCCUGGCUGCAUUGAGUGAAGAGGAAUUGUGUAGGGCUGCAUCUAUGAGGGCUGCUCUGAAAGUAAUGCCUCCUAAUUGUUUCCAUGGAAACUACCUCAGAUACAGAGAGCACAAUAACACUACUGAACAGAGAAUAUUCUCAGCUAUAAAACACUCUUUUUCAACGCAGUCACCACCAUUAGUUGUAAAUAAACAAUUAACAAAAUGAACAAAAGCCCGCAUGCUGUGCUCGUAACAAUCUGCACUAGUUGAGGUCACUCACUGUUGCUGUCAUCACUGCUGAAAUGUACCAGCCACCACCUCACUGUGCUCACAUCCAUGGUUUAGUCUCCAGCAAGUGCCAAUGAAUGUCAGUGGGUGCCAUUUUCUCCACAUGAAGGAAUUCAAUUACACACCUUUGCUUCAUAUGCACUUCCAUGUCAGACUUCAUUGUGUCAGACCGUCCCUCUGCUGCCAUCUGUCACACAGCAACAAAACGUAAUGGAAUUGUGGUGGGAAGGUUCAACUUCUGCCAUACCACCAAUGCCCACCUCUGACAUCCUGAGCUGACACCAUAAAGCAGGAGGUAUUACUUUUGGAGCAGCUCUUAUAAUAUUGAUAAUGUAUAUAAGUGACAAAACUUACUUUAAUUUUUAAUGUUCUUCUAUUAAAACAUAUAAAGAAGAGAACAACAAAAACAUAAAACCAGUGGGAUAUGUGACCUUGUUUUUGUGAAACUAACACGUCAGUCUGGUUCAGAGGAAGUAACUGCAAUUCUCAGUGAGUUCUCAAGGUGUCCCUCACAGAUUCUUGGUGAAAUCUGGCUGCUGGCUGGACAUUGCUGUGCUAGGGAAAUCAUUAUCAGGAGACAGCUGUCAUCCCCACAGUAAAUGCUAUGGAUGAUGAUGGCUGAGGAAGUACAACCAUCCUCUGUCUUCAGCAUCCAGUGAGUGGGGAGCAGCUUCUACCGUUUAUAAGAUACAUUUGCUUUCAUAGAGUAGAUGUUUUUCUUUGACUAGAUCCAGCCUUUAGGCCUGAUAUUAAAUAUUGUGUCAGAACGACUGUCCCACCUACCUCAGUGGAUUUUUGGAGCUGAGUCAGGACUAUGAGCUUUGAGCCUAAGCUAGGAAGAAGAGUUGAAGUGUUGUAAACACAUAAUUAAUGGCAUCAUCUCCAGAAGUACAAACAGGAAAAGAAGUACAACCUCCUUCUGUUCGGGUUCCUCUUGGAACAGAUGCAGGCCAUGUACUUCAGUCCUCCCUCCUUCCACUCUUUCCAAGAUGAACCUGCAGAUGUCAGAGACAACUUCCCCCCUCCACUCCAUGCCAUUUCCUCACACAUACACAGCUUGAAAACAACAGCAACAACAACAAAUUAAAACAUAACCCACUCUGAAAGAAGCUUUUUCCUGAAGAUCAUAACUUCUUCUGCCAGGAAAAUGGCGCAAUGGGAGCUGCUUCCCUGGAAGAAAAAUAGUAGGAGGUGAGUCUCUGUUGUUUUUCCAGACAGCGUCUCAAGUCCUGCUGCUUAGUUACCAUGUGUUUUGGACUCAGCCCUUCCCUUAGCUCCCCAGCCAGUGCCUGCCUGCGUGAGGCAGGUGAUUAAGAACAACCAACAGCCACUGUAAGAAAGCGGAAAAAACAGUAUGGCUCUCCAGCUAAGGGUAGUUUUCAUGCAUCACUUCUGCCUACUACCUGUUUGAUGCUGUCAUCCCAUCAUGCUGUUUGGUAGGGUAUGAAAUGGGAAAAUGUAGCAUCCAUUAAUAUAAAGCGUAACAAAUGUUAGGAACAGUUUACUGGCAGUAAUGCAAGGGCAAAGCUUUCCGAGCUGGUAAGGACAUGCUGCAAGAUGUAUGGUGCUCUCUCCCUGCUUCUGAGAGACCAG